rnacentral:rRNA from 1 species
AACGAACGCUGGCGGCAUGCCUAACACAUGCAAGUCGAGCGAGACCUUCGGGUCUAGUGGCGCACGGGGGCUUGACACGUGGGAAGCUGCACUUAGGUUCGGAAUAACUCCCCGAAAGGUGUCCUAAUACCGGAUAAUGUCAUACGACCAAAGAGUUAUCGCCUCUGGAUGGGGGCUGGUUGGAUUAGCUAGUUGGUAGGGGAAAAGCCUACCAAGGAGACGAUGCAGAGCUGGUCGGAGAGGAUGAUCAGUCACACUGGGAAUGAGACACGGCCCAGACUCGUACGGGAGGGAGCAGUAGGGAAUAUUGGACGCUGGGCGAAAGCCUGAUCCAGCAAUGCGGCGUGAGAGAUGAAGGGCUUAGGGUUGUAAAGCUCUUUUAGCCGGGAUGAUAAUGACAGUACCGGGAGAAUAAGCUCCGGCUAACUACGUG